rnacentral:rRNA from 1 species
CCUACGGGGGGCAGCAGUAGGGAAUCUUCCGCAAUGGACGAAAGUCUGACCGAGCAACGCCGCGUGAGUGAAGAAGGUUUUCGGAUCGUAAAACUCUGUUGGUAGAGAAGAACGUUGGUGAGAGUGGAAAGCUCAUCAAGUGACGGUAACUACCCAGAAAGGGACGGCUAACUACGUGCCAGCAGCCGCGGUAAUACGUAGGUCCCGAGCGUUGUCCGGAUUUAUUGGGCGUAAAGCGUGCGCAGGUGGUUUAUUAAGUCUGGUGUAAAAGGCAGUGGCUCAACCAUUGUAUGCAUUGGAAACUGGUAGACUUGAGUGCAGGAGAGGAGAGUGGAAUUCCAUGUGUAGCGGUGAAAUGCGUAGAUAUAUGGAGGAACACCGGUGGCGAAAGCGGCUCUCUGGACUGUGACUGACACUGAGGCUCGAAAGCGUGGGUAGCAAACAGGAUUAGAUACCCCGGUAGUC